rfam:Schistosoma margrebowiei strain Zambia genome assembly, scaffold: SMRZ_contig0003597
AGCUUUCCGAAUCUGUGCUGAGAUUUUGUCAGACACCAACCUAUUGGGGCUGAUCAGGCUUCCAAGAUUAGUGAAGUU